GUAGGUGGCAAGCGUUGUCCGGAAUUAUUGGGCGUAAAGCGCGCGCAGGCGGUCCUUUAAGUCUGAUGUGAAAGCCCACGGCUCAACCGUGGAGGGUCAUUGGAAACUGGGGGACUUGAGUGUAGAAGAGAAGAGUGGAAUUCCACGUGUAGCGGUGAAAUGCGUAGAGAUGUGGAGGAACACCAGUGGCGAAGGCGACUCUUUGGUCUGUAACUGACGCUGAGGCGCGAAAGCGUGGGGAGCAAACAGGAUUAGAUACCCUGGUAGUCCACGCCGUAAACGAUGAGUGCUAAGUGUUAGAGGGUUUCCGCCCUUUAGUGCUGCAGCAAACGCAUUAAGCACUCCGCCUGGGAGUACGGCCGCAAGGCUG
rnacentral:rRNA from 1 species